UAGAGUUUGGAUCAUGGCUCAGAUUGAACGCUGGCGGCAGGCCUAACACAUGCAAGUCGAGCGGAAACGAUGGAAGCUUGCUUUCAGGCGUCGAGCGGCGGACGGGUGAGUAAUGCAUAGGAAUCUGCCCGAUAGUGGGGGAUAACGUGGGGAAACCCACGCUAAUACCGCAUACGUCCUACGGGAGAAAGCAGGGGAUCUUCGGACCUUGCGCUAUCGGAUGAGCCUAUGUCGGAUUAGCUAGUUGGUGAGGUAAUGGCUCACCAAGGCGACGAUCCGUAGCUGGUCUGAGAGGAUGAUCAGCCACACUGGGACUGAGACACGGCCCAGACUCCUACGGGAGGCAGCAGUGGGGAAUAUUGGACAAUGGGGGAAACCCUGAUCCAGCCAUGCCGCGUGUGUGAAGAAGGCCUUCGGGUUGUAAAGCACUUUCAGCGAGGAAGAAGGCCUGAGGGUUAAUACCCUUCAGGAAGGACAUCACUCGCAGAGAGACCG
rnacentral:rRNA from 1 species